GUAAACAGUGAUGAACAAGACUAUGUCCUAAACAAAUGAUUAAACAGUAAACAAGCUAUGAUAAUUAAGUAUUUAAUAUGACAUUUUACUUCUGCAGGUGGUACUGAAAGAUUCAAUUCCUGUGGAGCUUGUGCAACACAGCUGCACAUGUGUUGCUGGAGCAGCAUUAUGCAACCACUGCGUUGCUUUGCUGUUUCAGUCAGCACAUUACUCGGAACUGAAUGUGCCAGUUGUGCCUCCUGUGCUAAGCUGUACUGAAGGGGAACAGCAGUGGCACAAGGCCAGAACUUUGGGUAUAAAGCCAGGCCCUGUUGAAAAGAUGGCUGUGCUGUCGGCUAAACCAAAGCGUAGAGCAACAACCGAGGGUGUAAGGAGCACACUCUACAAAGGUCUGACUGGAGAUUUGCCUGAUCUGU